GUUUUUGGUGUUUCCUCAAUGUCUCUGUCCUGGAGCCUACACGCGCACAAGCCUGUCAUCGCACCUGUGCAGGUGACCGUGAGCUGGUCUGAGGUCUUAAUGAGAAACAGGCUGGGAAAGCACAGCGGGCGGGUGCGCGAUGGAGCCCAGUCUCUGAUUGGCCGGAGGUCGCUGAGUGACAGAGGUUUCCACCUGUUAGAGGAGCGGUGUCCACAGCCGGGCUAUUUGAGCCGGUGGGAGGGGCUGGUCGUCAUUCCGGCCGUGAGGUGUGUUCAAGCGAACAGGUGCGCUGCUUUUACUGCGAGAACAGACGGGUGGUGUUUCGAGGUGAAGGAAACCGUUCUGAUGCACCUUUAGCGAACCUUUGCUUUAAAUGUUACCGCAGGGAAGAAACCUGGACUUGUUCUUGUGCUGCCUACAGCUUCUGAUGUAGAUUCCUACUUAAAUUGUUGAAACCUUCAGCCCUGUGUACUGUGCUGUUGUAAAAUUAAGACUGUGUUGAACUGUCAUCUGUACUGUUUGUUAAUACUCAGACCUCUGUAGUGUAUGGUGUUGAAGUAGAUGGACUGGUCUACUGAACUGUCACUUGUACUAUAAUGUAACAUUUCUUCUGUACUGUAUUUCACUGUAACAGAUGCAUUGUGGAUUAUAGGAAAAUGUCACCUGUACGCGAUUUGUAAUCUUCCUUGUGUACUGUAUUAUGUGAACGGUUACCAUUGUGGGGUUGUAAUACUUAAAACAGUCACCUGUGCUAUUCUGUCAUACUAAACCUGUGUAUUGUAAUAUGUGGACUACUCUUCUGAACUGUCACUUUUACACUGUUGUAAUCACUCUUUACCAUAUUUGUGAGUAAAAGAUGAAUUUUGAUCUGA